GAUCAAAAAAGCUGAGCAAAUAAGUAAAAUUAUGUUUCUUAUAAUCGAUGAAGCCGACCGAAUAUUGGAGGCUAACUUUGAGGAAGACAUGGAGAAAAUAUUUAAGCGGCUGCCAAAGACAAGGCAAACUGCUCUAUUUACAGCUACCCAAACUAAGCAGGUUGAGGAUUUUGCGAACUUGUCAUUUAAGGAAAA